CUGGCUCAGAGCGAACGCUGGCGGCAGGCUUAACACAUGCAAGUCGAGCGGGCCCUUCGGGGUCAGCGGCGGACGGGUGAGUAACGCGUGGGAACGUGCCCUCUGGUU
rnacentral:rRNA from 1 species